rnacentral:rRNA from 1 species
UACGUAGGGCGCAAGCGUUGUCCGGAAUUAUUGGGCGUAAAGAGCUCGUAGGCGGCUUGUCACGUCGGGUGUGAAAGCCCGGGGCUUAACCCCGGGUCUGCAUUCGAUACGGGCUAGCUAGAGUGUGGUAGGGGAGACUGGAAUUCCUGGUGUAGCGGUGAAAUGCGCAGAUAUCAGGAGGAACACCGGUGGCGAAGGCGGGUCUCUGGGCCGUAACUGACGCUGAGGAGCGAAAGCAUGGGGAGCGAACAGG